rnacentral:rRNA from 1 species
UACGUAGGGUGCAAGCGUUGUCCGGAAUUAUUGGGCGUAAAGAGCUUGUAGGCGGUUUGUCGCGUCGGCCGUGAAAACUUGGGGCUUAACCCCGAGCCUGCGGUCGAUACGGGCAGACUUGAGUUCGGCAGGGGAGACUGGAAUUCCUGGUGUAGCGGUGAAAUGCGCAGAUAUCAGGAGGAACACCGGCGGCGAAGGCGGGUCUCUGGGCCGAUACUGACGCUGAGGAGCGAAAGCGUGGGGAGCGAACAGG